UUCAUUUCCGCUUUCUCUCCUAUUCUCCCUGUAAACCCUAAUCAAAAACUUCAUCGCCGCUUUCAUUUUUGUGGCAAUCAGAGGUAACAUAGUUGGAUUCAAGCGAUGAUGGUUUGAUAUGCCGACCAUGAUUCAUCGGCGCUGAUGCUUUCUGAUUAUCCUCUGCUUUGAUUUCAAUCUUCCGUUUAAGGUGAUUGUCAAUUUCAAUUCAACAACCGAUUAAAGGUUUCCCAUGGAGUCUGCAAAUAUCAGAGAUGUAUUGACUUCCUGAAGGGUUUAUUUCAGAUUUCUAUUUCUGGUCUGGUUACUGUGGAUGACAUUUGGUGAAUUACAAAGGAAAGUCUCUAAUUUGUAUACUUAACUGAUUGAAUUGUACAGAGGAAAGCGAGUUUUGUUGUGGUGAGAUCAGAUCUGAUCUGGUGGUGUGAAGAUGGACUAUUAUAAUUUUUGUCUCUGGUAAUUACAUAUCCUGUUUUUUAUUGUUAUUUAUCAUCUUUCGUUUAAUGCAGUAUUUAAGAGACCCUUCUUGGAUGACGUUUUAGGAUUUUUCUUUGAGAGAUUUGACGUUGCCAUUUGGUCUUCAAGAACCAGGAAAAUUUUGGACCCUAUGGUUGAUUAUUUGUUAGGGGAUUUGAAGAAGAAGCUGGUGUUUAUUUGGGACAUAUCUCACUGCACCAAUUCAAGUGCCUGAAGCCUUGAAAACUAUCACAAGUUCAUAGUCUUCAAGAAACUGGGAAGAUAUGGGAAGGAAAUGGUCGUAUCGCCUAAUCCUAAGCACACUUGAAUCUUUCCGUUGUCUUACACGCACAAGGAUAUAAAUGACAACUCUUUAGGCCCUGAUGGUGAUCUUCGAGUCUAUCUAGAAGGUGUGGCCGCCAGUGAAAAUGUCAAAAUAUUUGGAAUUCAAGGAAGAAAAGUAAACAUUACAGGAACAGAUGACUGUGUCCAGUUCCUCUCUACCUUCGGUCUUUAGUAGAGGUGGAAAAUGGCGCGAUUGGAUGAGUUAGUAAACGAUGCAUCGUUUCAAGAUGUAGCUCAUGCAACAACGUUAGCUGGUUUUUAAUUUGCACUACCCAGGUUCGUUUCCGGUUCGUUUACAGUAUGCAUAUCCCAAUCAACAAGAAACUUGAGGUCGCUGUUAAAAGAACAAGUAAAUCAUUCCCUCAAAAGGUAUGCCUCUGUGCCAUUCUAAAGUGGAGAAAGUAACUACAGAAGACCUCUUUGAGCUCUCAGAGAUUGAAAAGUACAACCGGGGAAUGACUAGGCGUACGGUUUCUCUCUCUGAUGUGGAUAAUACCCCAGAAUCUUUAUCGGUGUUCAGCGAUAAUGAUGUACAUGGGUUAUAUGACUUUCUUCUUCUUCUUAAUUACAUGUUUCUUUUACCAUCUCUGAAUAUACUAGAUGUUCCUUUACUUUAUUCACGAGUACCAUUUGAAAAUGCUGCUGUUUUUGCACCAGAGGUUAAAUGCAAGGAGGUGAGGAAAAUUGAUAAUGUAUUCGCUUUAAAUGCAAGCAGGUAUUAUGGUCUCUUGCCCCAUUGCUGAGGUGGGGGGUGGAUCCUCUAAUGUUCAUUAAGUAUUGAAACUCCAAUUCAAUCCCGCACUACUGUUGAUAUGAAACUGCUCAAGUAACAUAGAAUUUCUUUGAAUUAAUGUUCAGGUUUUUGUUCAUCCAUCUUUUUGAAUAUCUUGCUGACGUCAUCCAGGUUAACAAAUUAAAUGAUGAAAGAAUUUGGAGAAAAGGUUUUCGUGUUUGGUUGUUGAUUCGGCGUUGAGUAUGCUUAGGAGAAUUCAAAGAAAGGAUGGGGACGUGGCUGUGGUAAAUCAAAGUCACGCACCCUGACCCACGGUACUUUUGGGCUUCUUGCACCAUCCCGGCAUACAAGCAGGUCAGCACAUUUGGAUGCAUCACCAAUGAGACAUCACUGUUCGAAAGGCCGAAGAAUGCCAGAUGGGACACAGGGUAAUACAAUGGGAAGAAGGAAACCUAUUCUAACAGGUUUACCAUAAGGUUUGAUAUAGAGGCUUAACAUUGUAUUGAAUUUUUUUAAAGAGGACUUAAAAUCAUAGUGGGUUUAUGAUCAAGUGGAGGUUUAUGUAAUGGGGCUUCUAAAUAUAGUAUUGAUUUUUUUUA